rnacentral:rRNA from 1 species
GAUGAACGCUAGCGGCAGGCCUAACACAUGCAAGUCGAGGGAGAAGCCCUUUCGGGGGCAGAAACCGGCGCACGGGUGCGUAACGCGUAUGCAACCUACCUUUCACAGGGGGAUAGCCCGAAGAAAUUUGGAUUAAUACCCCAUAAUAUUAUUGGAUGGCAUCAUUUGAUAAUUAAAACUGCGGUGGUGAAAGAUGGGCAUGCGUCCUAUUAGCUAGUUGGAGUGGUAACGGCACCCCAAGGCUACGAUAGGUAGGGGUCCUGAGAGGGAGAUCCCCCACACUGGUACUGAGACAGGGAGCAGACUCCUACGGGAGGCAGCAGUGAGGAAUAUUGGUCAAUGGUCGGAAGACUGAACCAGCCAUGCCGCGUGCAGGAAGAAUGCCUUAUGGGUUGUAAACUGCUUUUAUAUGGGAAGAAUAAGGCGUACGUGUACGUUGAUGACGGUACCAUAUGAAUAAGCAUCGGCGAACUCCGU